UCAGGACGAACGCUGGCGGCGUGCCUAACACAUGCAAGUCGAGCGGAGUCAGUAAGAGGAAGUUUCGGAUGGAAUCUUAUUGAUUUAGCGGCGGACGGGUGAGUAACGCGUGAGCGACCAACCUUGCACAGGGGGAUAACGGACCGAAAGGUUCACUAAUACCGCAUGAGACCACGGUGUUGCAUGACACAGGGGUCAAAGGAGCAAUCCGGUGCAAGACGGGCUCGCGUCCGAUUAGGUAGUUGGAGGGGUAACGGCCCACCAAGCCUAUGAUCGGUAGCCGACCUGAGAGGGUGAUCGGCCACAUUGGAACUGAGAUACGGUCCAAACUCCUACGGGAGGCAGCAGUGGGGAAUAUUGGGCCAAUGGGGGAAACCCUGACCCAGCAACGCCGCGUGAAGGAAGAAGGUUUUCGGAUUGUAAACUUCUGUCCUUGGUGAAGAGAAGAAGACGGUAGCCAAGGAGGAAGCCCCGGCUAACUACGUGCCAGCCGCCGC
rnacentral:rRNA from 1 species